UGUGUUGCUGGUAGUUAGGUAGAUGUAUGUGAUGUGUUGCUGGUAGUUAGGUAGAUGUAUGUGUUGUGUUGCUGGUAGUUAGGUAGAUGUAUGUGUUGUGUUGCUGGUAGUUAGGUAGAUGUAUGUGUUGCUGGUAGUUAGGUAGAUGUAUGUGAUGUGUUGCUGGUAGUUAGGUAGAUGUAUGUGAUGUGUUGCUGG